GGGACCCAGCGGAAGCCCGCCUGGCACGUGCCCAGACCCGCCAUACGUCUAAAACCCAUAAGGCGUCUAAAAACAACAAUAAUAAAAGCAAUAAUAGGAGACAUCUAGGAGUAUCAGAACAUAAUAAAUGUCUAAAUGCUACAACAAGGAAUAAGGAUAAAACUGUAAAUCCACUAAAUAAAACAUAAAGUGAUACAAGAAAAACCCAGAUACAAGAGCUAUAGGUAGAUACAUAGGUGGUCUCUAUACAUGGAUACAAAAAUCUCUCACUCUCUCAACUACAAAAAGAAAGAGUAAACCACCGAGGCAAAGUACCGCUCCUCGCUAGCUAGCUAAGCGAUCCCCUUGCCGCGAUCCCGUGCCUCCGCUGGUGCCGAAGGCUCUGAAAUGUAAACCAUAAAACGGGGGCGUGAGAACUAUUAAAAAUAGUUUCCAGUGGGCAAUUACUGAUUCGUGACUGCACACAAGCGCAAAGCUACAAAAUUGUCCAGUGACUUAAAGUAGAAAGGCGAAAUGGUAAGUAAUGUAAUAACUACGACAUUGAUAUCUCUACUUAGCAUAAAUAGCAUAUAGUAUGAAGCCAACUUAUGCAUGAAGUAAAAGUCUCAACUAUCAUGAUGUUCACAUGUGAUAGCUAAGUUCCGUUGUUUAUAUUCUACGUCAAGUGGUCCAGUAUAUACUAAGUCUCAUCUGUCACAUGUUCUAAUGGAUACAUAAAGUCAAAUUGAAGAGACCCAGCGAAGGCUGUCUAUGGCCUGGGAGCCCACCGUAGCUGUCUGGCGGUGCCGAGCCUAAUGGCCCGUGGUAAGUCAUAUCGCCCACCCUAGGGAUGAGCCUGUCCCACGGCGAAAUCCAUUUCUUUGCGCCCAAUCCGCACGAGCGAAUAUGGAAUCGCGAUUGGCAUCUCCGGAGUGCGGCUUGUACGUCGGGUAUUGGGGACUCAAAGCAUGUGCGGAAUAUGAGCACAAUGGCAAGUAGUCAACGAUCUGUCGCAAGUCAAGCCUCAUGUCUAAUAACAUAAAUUGUGUAAGUAUUUCUCAACGGCUAUCCCUAUGUAUCAUGUCUUUACAUGGAUAUAGCAGAUAUUGUAGUUGGCCUAUCAACUAUGUUCUAAUGUUGCAGUUUCAUAGUUUCCUAAGUUUCAAGUCCCUUUAUGACACAUUUGUUCUCUAUGUCAAACAUUGACAACUAUGUUCCCAAGUACGUAUUUCCAAGGUCUAGUCUCAUAAGAUGAUAGUUAUUUUUCACUUUGCAAAUAACACUUUUUCGUAUUAGCUGCAUUCUACUUUCAUAUACUAUACUAUAUGUGAAGAUUUUCAUAAUACACAAGGCAUAUUUUAAUGUGCUCUAAAUUCAUAUAAUUCCAUUGCAUGAAAUGAUUUAAAAAUAAUUUUACAACAAGGUAGAAAGAGCAUAGGGGCAUUUCGCCGCAUUUUUCACGAAGCAACCCACGAUGACACGAACUCCUCGUGCGCUCCCAGAGGGUGGUCUUCUAGGUCUUCCUAGUACCCUAGAUGUAUAGAACAUGUGUCAUCGCAGCAAACGAACAUCCUAGCUCAACAUGUAAACCCAUUCUUAUUAAGGGCAAAACUUACUCUUAGUGGGAAACUUUCACAAGCUAAAAAGAGAGGCUAGAACCCUUCCAUUUUCAAUCUCUGAGGUAGGUUCUAAUCCAAGGCAUCAAAGCUCAAAAGCCCUUAAAAUGAAAAUGCCAAUUUAAACCUAAAUUUCCAAUUCUAGGUUUAUUCUCCAAAAACCUUCAAAAGGAUUCAAAAGGGAGAAAUCAAGUCUCUAACCUGUCAAGAAGCUCGCAAACUUUAGCUCCAAUUCUAGUGGGGUGGGGAUUCCUCAGCACAAGCUCCUCUCCAAGCUCUAAGCAUCAGAUCAAUGGUUGGAGAGCCCCAAGAUGCAAAUAGAGGACGAGAAACCAAUAAAAACAAGCAAAGGGUUAAAUGGAAAAAAAAAGGACCGAGAGAGGAGCUGCUUCUCACCUUCUCCUCCUCAGGGCCAGCACAAGAAAGCCCUUAAGGGGCGUGGGAUGCUUGUUAUAGAUAGGCAUCUACAAUUGCGAAAACCCCUACGGUUCGAACUGACGAAUCUUGCUCCUUGUUAGGGAUACACGGGCUCUUGUACUCAGUACAGGCAGACGAAGAUUGAAGACCGAGGCUGCGGGUCGCGACUGUCUACGGCUCUUGUACCGGUACAAGCCCCGGAUUGGUCUGUACCGGUACACAAUCAAUCCUUGUACCGGUACAGGCCAGUCUAACUGUUUCCGAGUACAGCUCUGCUGCAGGUCUCCUGAGAGCUGUCUAUGAAUCCUAUUUUGGAUUUUGUACCAAGCUUCAACAAUUCUCGGGUGUGCGUGCACGGGGUCGGAACACUUCACGACCCUCCAAAUAACUGUGGAAAGAAUUGCUCACUCACAAAUAAACACUUGAAUUUGACAAUUUGCUAAGCUGCAGUGUAUUAACAUUCACCCCCCUAAAAAGAGUUUUUCGUCCGCGAAACUCAAAGGCAAGCAUCUUCAAGCUCAUCUGAAAAAGCUGGGGAUACGCUCCCGCAGCGCGAUUUCUAGCUCCCACGUGCCUCGCGCUUUGGUGCUGCUCAAAAGGUCCUUCACAUACGGAAUACUCACGGGCUUCGCAGCUUCUUUCACCUCGCAUGCCAAUCUUCAUUGUUGUCCUCGAGCUCAAAUCCUGCGCAGCUCCACUGGAUAUAGCUUCCAAACAUGAGCGGAAUCAUGAAAUGUACCUCGAAGGACGUACAUGAAGAGUUGUGUACGCCACGAUAGGUUCGGUGGUAGGCAGUCGAUCUUCGGACCUACAGCGCUCAAGAUCUUCAUACGGUCAAUGAAACGGGGAUUAACUUCCGAAUUCUAAUCUCUUGGUUAUUCUAGUUGGCGAGAUCUUUCAAGAAAACAUGGUCUCAACUUGGACCUCCAGUCUCGCGUCGUGGAUCAGGGUAGCUCCUCUGUUAUCUGUGCGUCAAAGUGGCUCCCGAGCAAUUCGAACCUUGUCCUCGCUUCCUGGAGCACAUCGGGACCUAAAGCAUCUUUAUCGCCCGACUUCACUCAAUGCGUGGCAGCUACUACAUUUCCGUCCAUAAGGUGUUUCAAAGGGCGCCAUCUUGUGUGCCCUUGAUUAAUGUUGUUAUAAGCAACUUCCGCCAUAGGUAGAGAUGCUGCGAACCUCUCCCUGGAAGUCUAUACAGCCCGGGCAUACCUCUAAAGUGCUGUUUUUCUAUGGAAUAGUGCGCUCGAUGUCCAUCACUCUGUGGUGGAAUGCUGUACUGAAAUCCAAAUUGGGUGGCCUAAGGCGUCUGUAGACUUCCAAAAGUGGGACACGAAGGGAUGUCGCGAUUCAGAUGACAAUCGUGUGGCAUCAUUGAAGUCGCGCACUAAUCUCAGUCAAGGUACACUUGUGCGAGGCUUCUCUCCGGCGUCAAGUCGCUUUAUGAAUAGGUUGAAGUGCUAGCCGACUUCGUACUAUCUCAACGAUACCAAAUUAGCGUCAUGCCCAUCCUGUCGCAGGUGGCAUCGUGUCACAAAGUCCUGUGAUCUUUCUCCACUUCACAAGGAUAGGAACUCUGAGCUUCCCAGGGGAACUCGGUUGCUUGCCUUACUUGUUGGCAGUUAAGCUUCUAGCAACAACUCGGCCAACAUCCUUUUUAUCCGAGGCCACAAUAGAGCAACUUUAGUUUAUACAUUUUGGUGCUCCCGGAAUGUAUAGCAUAAGGGCGCAGUGCGCUUUCUUGGAGAAUAUCUAUUUUAAUUCCGAAUCGCCGGAACACAUGUCGUCCUCGGAAAGCUUGCAUCAACUCGGGUAUCCACAGGAAAUCGCGGGUGCAACCGAUCACCUUUUUCCUCUCAAUCUUUUGCAAUUCCAAAAUCGGAAACUUGCCUUUUCUCUUUGAUCUCUGAUUCAACAAGGUAGGUGUGCAAUACUAUGUUCAUCACUCAAGGGCUGUGUGGUCACUGGCUCGAAGUACAGCGGAAUGCAUUUCAGGCCACGGUGCACAGGACCGCCACACCUGCAGUAUAUAAAGGCGUCUUACGUAAAUGAAAACAAGUUCGAUAGGAAGUAAAACAAAGAGAGUCUUAUCUCUGAUAUCAGAGACUAUACAAGUCGAUAUAUGUCAGUCAAAAAGAACAAAGGAAAUACGAUCAAAUAUCUCGACAGAAGAGAAGUAUCACAACUGUAGUUCUCGAUCCAAGUAGUACAUAUACAUCACGAGUACACAAAAAUAGGAUAGGUACAAUGGUGGUUUCUCUAUACAAAGGGACAUCACCCUCGGUCGAAGUCCGACUAGCAAGGUGAUCAACUAGCACGCUCCUAGCAAAGUCUAGCUAGACGCGACUCCCUUGCCACGAUCCCUAGCCUCUCCUGUGGAUGGCUCUGUAAAAACAACCAUAAAAAGGGCGUGAGAACUAUUAACAAUAGUUCCCAGUGGGUAAGCCGCCAGCCUCGGCGAAUUACACCACUAGGCUCAAGAUGUACUAAUGAAAAAUAAAAGCAAUAAUUGCAUGAUGUUAACAAGUAAUGAGCAUGUAAUUACAGGAUACCUGUCCAAUGCUAAGCAAUUAAUGAACAUGUAAACAACAUGUAAUAGCUUUCGACAGUAAUGAAUUGAACAAUAAAAGUAUAGCAGCUAUUGUAAGCAUAAACAUAAAUAUGAAUGUGUAAGCAGAGACUAUACACAAUGACUGAUGAUCAAUCAUUACCGUCCAAAGUCCUUUAGCACAUUCUAUUCAUUUACAAGGACCAACCCAAAGUAGUCCAGCUUGCGCCGCGCCUAAUGGCCCCGUGGUAGUAUACACUCCCCACGGCAAUCCACUUCGGCACCCAAUCCCGCACGGGCGAGCAACUGUCGAGUAGGCCAACUCCGGAGUGACAGCUUGUAGGGAGCGACCCUCACAAGCGUGUGCGAAUGAGCACCAUGGCAAGCAAGCAUAUUUCCCAAUCCACAGGUCUCAAUUCUCAUGUUUUCAUUUGCAAAGUUCUUACCUUCGAUCCUCUGAUCGGAAUUUCAAUACACAAUUAGUAACAAGAACUAGUAUCCACUAGAUUGUAAACAUGUAAGGGUAAUGCUAAAUCACAUGGCAUUAUAAUCUUUCCACUAUUGUGGCACUAUCAACAUAGUCAUAGUUCUCUACUUUAGAGUCAAGAGUAUGUCAUUGUUCCCUACUUUAUAAGUGCAUCCGACACUUGUUCAUAAGUCAUUCAACUGAAUUGAAUAUGAAUAUAAAUACUUCCAUGCAUAUAUGUUCUCUACUUUAUAGAGAUUUCAUUCUACUGAAGCAUCAAAUAUCACGAUGAUAUGUUUCCAAUUCUCACAUAUGCACUCAAUGCACCUAUGCGAUUAUUCUAUUCUACAGAUACAUAUAGAACAUAGGGGAGCUCCACUUGCUCUGGUUAGGUCCGACCCACCUCGUACUAAGUUCAAAUCAGUCCAAAGGAGUCCCAAGGAUCAGCUCCACUAGGUCGCAAUCCUGCUGAACACGGAGCAUACAUAUCGUAUCAAAAUUACGAUCGAAAUGUCCAAUUUCGGUGCAAUUGCACUUAGUACAUUAUAAUAGCUGACAUCCCUGUUUUGGCUCAAUAAAUACCUUAAGUUAAGCUUCCAAAAUCCCUCACGUAUCAGCCGGAGGUAAUCCGAAGGUCCGUUGCAAGCCCGCUGCAAACUAUUUCCAAAACGGCAACAAAGUCGUCAAUUGCUAGCAAUAUAAUCGGAAUCAUGCGAAUUCAGCUCCCUAACUGAAAUUCUUGCUUACCUCAUGAUAGAACAGCUUCUAAACCAGCCUCCUAGGUCACCAAAUAGCUGCAAAUGAUUCGAAAACUUGCUGCGAAGAGAAAGGUUCAUACUGCAUCAAUUUGCUCGAUUAAUCCAUGUAUAGAGUGAAUUAGAGUCACAAUUCACCAAUUAUCUUUAUCAAGCUUGAAAACGACAUUCCUCUGAGCUAAAGUAGGUAAUUCACAGUCAAAACAACAUCUCUUUACUGCAAUAAACAACUUCUAGCUUAGUUGGAAGCAACGAAACGAAAAGGCGUCCAAAAUCAAUACAAAACCGUAAACUAGAGAGAGAUCAAGUUGAUUACCUCUCUAAGGCUGAGAUUCAGCUUCCCCUGGUAGUAUACUCACAGAAAACACAGCAAAACUCCUCUUUCCCACGUGCUGGAAGCCUCCUUUAAGUCGCCAAAACAGCGAACAACAAGCGCGGCGCGAAAACGGCGCGAAUCGGCGGCUUUUCUCUAGAGAGAGAAAAACCCUAGAGAAGAGAUGAGAGAGAAGGUGAAAUAAGCUUUUCUGAACUCAAGCAACCUUCACUGAGCAUCCCAGGUCGUGCUGGGUUAAGUAGAUAAGGAUCAAAAUGUGAAAUGACCAAAUUAGCCUUGCUGCCAAAUUUCUGCCAGUCUGUACCGGUACAAGGUAAUGGCUGUACCGGUACAGCAAGCAGAAAAAGGCUGAUUUCGCCUGUCCAAUGCAAUUUCUUGCUUUUAACCCUCCAAUCAUCCUCUAACUUGUCCAGAAACUUGUCCAAGUCAUUUAAAACAUGUAGGAUAGAUCCACACUUCAUUCCACACACUCGAACUCUGCAAUUUGCGAAAGUUCAGUGUAUUACAUUCACCCCUCCUAAAAAGAUGUUUCGUCCGCGAAACUUGUAAACACUCACCUCAAAAUUCCGUCGAGAAAAGAUGAGGAUAGUGCUCUAACAUCGCACUCUCCAGUUCCCAAGUGGCUUCCCGUUCAUCAUGAUUGCUCCAAAGGAUCUUUACAUAGGGGAUCUCGCGGUUUCGAAGCCGUUUUACUUCUCGAGCUAGUAUCCUCACUGGCUGCUCCUCGAAGCUCAAAUCUUCUUGUAAAUCCACUGGAGUACUCUCCAAUACGUGAGUUGGAUCAAAAAUAUAUUUCCGUAGUGUGGAUACAUGAAACACAUCGUGGACUCCCGAUAGGUUCGGCGGUAAAGCAAGCCGAUAAGCUACAGGGCCUACUCGUUCCAACACCUCGUAGGGUCCAAUAAAUCGAGGACUCAACUUCCCUCGAAUGCCAAAUCUCUUAACUCCUUUCGUCGGGGAAACCUUUAGGAAUACAUGAUUGCCAACUUGAAAUUCCAGUUCUCGCCGACGUUUGUCCGCAUAGCUCUUUUGUCGACUUUGUGCUGUCAGUAGACGUUCUCGUGCCAGUCGAACUUUAGCUUCAGCCUCUUGUAAUACGUCUGGACCCAAAACCAAUCUCUCACCCACUUCACUCCAAUGAAGUGGUGAUCUGCACUUUCUACCAUAAAGGGCUUCAAAAGGUGCCAUCAGAAUACUUGCUUGAUAACUACUGUUAUAAGCAAAUUCAGCCAUAGGCAAGAACUGUGGCCAACUGCCCUGGUAAUCAAUCACACAGGCCCGCAACAUAUCCUCAAGGGUCUGGAUAGUACGCUCAGACUGCCCAUCACUCUGGGGGUGGAAAGCAUAACUAAAAUCCAAUCGAGUACCCAUGGCCUCCUAUAAACUCUUCCAGAAAUGUGAAACGAAUCGGGUGUCUCGAUCUGAAACAAUAGAAGCAGGUACUCCAUGCAAUCGUACAAUUUCAUCAAGAUAUACUUGUCGAGUUUUUCCCCCGACCACACUGUAUGAAUUGGAAUAAAGUGGGCAGAUUUAGUCAGUCUAUCCACAAUUACCCAAAUGGCAUCGUGACCUGCUUGUGAGCGAGGUAAUCCAACGAUGAAAUCCAUAGUGAUCCUCUCCCACUUCCACACUGGUAUGGGUAAGCUCUGAAGUUUCCCCGCAGGAAGUCGAUGUUCAGCUUUAACCUGCUGACACGUUAAGCACUUAGCCACGAAGUCCGCAACUUCCUUUUUCAUUCCAGGCCACCAGUAAGUUAACUUCAAAUCCUUAUACAUUUUCGUACUCUCCGGGUGUACAGUAUACGGCGCCGGAUGUGCUUCUGCAAGAAUCUCUUCUUUAAUACCAGAAUCUGCCGGUACACAGAGCCUAUCACCGAAUUUCAACAAUCCCUGAUCAUCUACUCGAAAAUCACUAUCAUGAUCAACAGUGCUCUUAUCUCGAAUCUUCUGCAGGAAUUCAUCUUGAGUUUGCUUUUCCUUAAUUCGAUCGAUCAGGGUAGGUUGCACCACUAAUGACAUAAGUCUCCAAGGCGUAUCAGGGGCUACAAUUUCCAAAGUCAAUUGCUCCAUUUCCCUUAUCAAUAGUGGUUGCAUUGUUAUCGACAUCGCCAAAAUUUUCCGUCGAUUUUCGACUUAAAGCAUCUGCUACGACAUUAGCUUUUUCAGGAUGAUAGAGAAUGAUCAAAUCAUAAUCCUUGAGUAACUCCAACCAUCUACGUUGUCUCAAGUUUAAUUCUUUCUGAGUGAACAGAUACUUUAAGCUUUUAUGAUCUGUGUAAACUUCGCAACGCUCGCCGUAGAGAUAGUGGCGCCAAAGCUUUAAAGCGAAUACCACAGCUGCUAACUCAAGAUCAUGUGUAGGGUAGUUCUUUUCAUAAUCUUUUAAUUGGCGAGAAGCAUAAGCAAUUACUCUGCCAUUCUGCAUUAGAACACACCCUAAUCCAUUCAGUGACGCAUCGCUGUAAAUCACAUAAUCCACUCCAGUAACAGGCAAAGCCAGAAUCGGGGCGGUAGUCAAUCGUUCCUUCAGCUCCUGAAAGCUCCUUUCACAGGCUUCAUUCC
rnacentral:lncRNA from 1 species